rnacentral:rRNA from 1 species
UACGUAGGGUGCGAGCGUUGUCCGGAAUUACUGGGCGUAAAGAGCUCGUAGGUGGUUUGUCGCGUUGUUCGUGAAAACUCACAGCUCAACUGUGGGCGUGCGGGCGAUACGGGCAGGCUAGAGUACUGCAGGGGAGACUGGAAUUCCUGGUGUAGCGGUGGAAUGCGCAGAUAUCAGGAGGAACACCGGUGGCGAAGGCGGGUGUCUGGGCAGUAACUGACGCUGAGGAGCGAAAGCGUGGGGAGCGAAAAGG